UCCAAACAAAUUAGUUUUGACUGAUUACUAUGUUGUUUCCUACUCUGAAGAUGCAGAUUAAUAUCACUCAAAAGUAUUUCUUCAUUGUUGAUUACCAAAAGGUUAAUAUUAACUAAUAGAAAAAUCUCAAUUUCGAAUAAGAAGGCAAUGGAUUUUAUAACUGGCAUUGCAGCAUUUAUUAUAGUUUAUUUCAGAUUUCCAGUGGUAAAAGUAAAAAGUAUAAUAUCUAGUUUUUAAAAACUGAAUCUGAAUAUUAAAUUUAUAAAUUUUACAUAAAAGUGAGAGAGCACCAUAAUAGAGGGGUGCCCUUUUGUUGUUUCCCAAUACUGUGAUAGGUUUGCACCCCUUUGCCAGUUUCUCAUUUUGACCAGAGGGCAGACACCUGGCAGGGAUUUGGGGUAAGGUCUGGGAGCAGAGAAUAGAGCUUUUUGUUCUCUAAAUUUAAGUGGCCUCUAUAGGGAUCAAACUCUCACCCUUUGCUUUGGGAACCACAAGAUCUAAUCAAAUGAACUAUUAAAGAGCUAAAUAAACAUAGCCAGCAAGGAACAGAAGAUGUUUCCAGGCCACAGGAGAUUUCUUCUUCCUACUCCUUUUUUAGGAAGCUAAGGAUUCCUAAGAGAUUUAAUCCAUUACGUUUUUCCCCAAGAGAAUGCAGCGGCUCAUAUCAAAUAUUCAUUUUUUAGGUCAUCACCAUUUUUGCACACUGUACACCAAUUUACUGCCUCAGUGCACUAAAAUGCAACUCAGUAGCCUGAAAAGUUAAUGCAUUUUCAUCAAAUUCUUAAGAGGCAUCUACAUCUCUUGAGAAAAAAUGGCCUUACAUAAUGCAUUGGAUUUGCCCAUCAUUAAAGAUUAAGGAAAACCAGACACAAACCAGAUGCCCUGAAGAUUUCAGAUCCUCUUUGUUAUGGGACAGUAUUAGAUGAAACUUGUUAAGUUUUGUUUGGAAAAUUCAUUUUUCAAUGUAUAAAUCUUUGUAAUGUUAUGAACAUGUGCUUCUGGAUACUUUCCAGAAAAAUAAACCUCUUUAAAAACAAAACAAAACACAUGUUUAGAAUUAUCUAGCAGUUGAUACUCAUGCACUAGAGUCAGACCUGAGUUCAAGUCUCAGUUUAACCACUUCUAACUAUGUGAUAAUGAUUGAGAUAGUACUUAACUUCUCUUACCUUUAUUUUCCUCAAAGGGGCUUGGGGAGAAGUAAUUUAAUAAUGCAUGCAAAUUGCUAAAUAUAGCGCCUAUAAUACAGUAAGCAAUCAAUAACGGGUAUUUGUGUGCUUAAUGUUUGUUUGGUGCUGUGGGGUUUGAGAAUAUGCUUAAAAUUACUCUCCACAUGAACUGAACUGCUUCAGGUCAUAGCUGCCAAUUGUCAGUUUACAUGUGAAACUUCCCAAGCAAGUAAAAUUUUCUAAGGCAGCCAUUUAGUAGAAGACAUGUUUUAGCUCAUUAUUCUUAUUACCUGGAAUAAAGUAAACAAAGGUUGUCAUUUUCACAUAGUUAAUUCUCAUUACUCAUGAAAUACAUAUUUUGAAAUUUGCCUACUUGCUAAAAUUUCAAAAAAUCAAUACUCCUCGUGCUUUUAUAGUCAUUCAUUGAGCAGCAAAAUAAAGGAGGCUUCGGACACACAGGUUCCCAGCUGAGGCCAGACAGGGCAGUGCUCUGCCUUAUUAUUUCAGCCCUCACACUAUGUACAAGUACCCAUUUUCCUGUCUAUUUAGUUCCACAUUUUUUUCCCAUUUUUGUGCUUUUUACUGUUGUUGCUGAUUCUGCUGUUUUCAAACAUAGUGCUGUGCAGUGUUCUUAAGCACAGGAAGGCUGCAGUGGAAAGUAGAAUGGUGAUUGCCAGGGUUUGGGUGGGGCAGUUAAUGUUUAAUAGAGACUUUCAGUUUGAAAAGAUUUUAAAAAGUUCUGGGGGUAGAUGAAUGGUGGUAUGGGUGCACAGCAAUGAAUAUACUUAAUACUACUGAACUGUUAACUUAAAAAUAGCUAAAAUGGUGAGAUCUAUGUCAUGUAUAUUUUACCACAAAAUUUUAAAUGCCAGGAUAUGUCAUAAGAAAAUUUUUCCUUAUGAAAAAAUAUAUGUGUUAGAAAAGCUUUGUUCAGGAAUGAAGGUAGUGCUUUUGACUGUGAGUUUAAUGUUAAUGAAUAACACUAUAUAUUAAUUGGUUGAUGAAAAAAUUGUGACCAGAGGCUCUCCUAACCCUGUAUUUUCUCUAGGAAUUGAGUAUUUGCUGAUUCACAAUUGAUGAUGAAUUUCCAGAAUAUAACUACCAUGAAUAGUAGAAUUGUUUGCAUCUAAUCAGCUUCUCUGAAGGACAGUAUGAAUGGAUUAAGAAGUACUCAAGCAAUUUCAAGAACUGUUUCUUCUCCAAUGGCAAUAACUGCAGCUCCCCAGCACAGAAUGCUGGGAGCUACUGUCACAAAGGAGACCAGACAGGGCAACAAUAGGACAGACCCAGAUCUUCCAGACCUUCCUUCAAAUCCUAGAAGACCUCAAAGAAAAAAGGAGAAAGAAAAAACUGAAAAAUAUGCAUGAUAAAGUCCUAAUUUCUACACAAUUUAUGAGUUGUGUGACCUAAAACAAGACAUUUAACCUAUCUGGACCAAGGCCUGUCAUAUCAAGUUUGAAAUAAUGAGGUAAUGCUAAAUGUCUUAUGAGUCUUCUCUCAAUUUUCAAACUCAAUUCUAUGAAAAUUUGAAUUAUCCUUACAUAGAGCUCUUAUUUAAGUUGUGGAGUUGAAAAAUAAGAUAGGCUCCAGCAGGGGUCACUAGAGUCACAUUGAGCCCUAAAUCUGAUUAUCUUUUAAGUAUGUGGUAGUUGACUUUACACAUUCCAGUGCCUUUUUUUUUUUUUUUUUGACUGUAUAGAUUCCACUCUAUACCCAUAUCUUGUCUGAAUUGUUCUUAAAAAGUACUUGGAAUACCCACCUCAUCUAGUGUCUUUGUUUUUGCUUCCAUUUGUCUUCUCUGAUUCUUUUACCUUAUUUAUUUAUUUUUCACCUUGCUAUUGGAGAUUAUUUACCUCCAUUGACUCUAGGAUACUUCAAGAGAAUUUAUUUUUAAGAAUUAGCAAUGUUCAAUUUUUUAAAUUCUGAGAACUAUGAUGAGUGUAUUUCUUUAUAUAUAUGAGAGUACCGUAAAAAGAAAGCACUUAAAAUUCAAUCCUCCCCUGGGUUUUCUUCUUCUUUUCUUUGAGCAACUAAAAAAAGGUAUCCGUCUCCUAUGGAACUCAGAGAAUUCUAUGCUAUCCCUGAGAAUUCUAUAAUUCUAUGUUAAUUAUUUAUACUCCCCCAUAGUUAAUUUGCUAUGUAUAUGAAGCCAGAAAUAGAAUUGUUCAUAUAUUCAAGAGCAGGAUAAAUAUUUCAGUGCCAGUUCUAAUUUCAAUAUCAUAUAUUUUUUCUUUAAAAAUAUAGUGGCUACGUAUAAAACACAGAUGAUGCUGCAAGCUGGCUAUCCAACAAAUCACCCCAAAAUCACAAGACUCCCCAGAGUUCUAAGUUUUAAGAGUAAAUCUUAAGUUCUAAGACUUAGAAUCUUGGUUUAGAUAUAAGGUGUUUCCUAAAAGCUUGUGUUGAAUCAAUGCAAAAGGGUUUAGAGGUGAAAUGAUUGAAUCCAAUUAUUGAUUGAACUCAAUGAUUGAGCCUGAACCUAAUCAGUGUGUUAAUCCUGAUAGAGAUUAACUGGGUGGUAACUAUGUGCAGGUAAGGUGUGGCUAGAGGAAAUGGGUCCCUGGGAGCCGGCCUUUGGUGUAUAUAUUUUGUCCUUGUUGAGCAGAGCUCAUUCUCUCUACCUUUCCCUCUCA